GCCGGGCGUGGUGGCUCACGCCUGUAAUCCCAGCACUUUGGGAGGCCGAGGCAGGUGGAUAACCUGAGGUCAGGAAUUCGAGACCAGCCUGGCCAACAUGGUGAAACCCUGUCUCUA
rnacentral:SRP_RNA from 1 species